rnacentral:lncRNA from 1 species
CAUUUUUUUACCCUACCAUAUAUCCAAUUGAAUGAGAUUUCUCAUAGAUCCUAUCGAUUUGUCUCGGGUUAACCAAAAGAGGUUAAUUACAUGAGUUUCAAACUUUAAUUUGGAUUAAAUUAAUAAUAAGUUUUAUCUUUUCUCCCACCUUCAGAAAAAUAAAGCAUAAGUGUUUCGGGAUUAUCGUCCGUUAGAUUUUUCUGAAGUAGUUGAUACGUCAAGGAAGUUUUACCUGGAAUAAAAGAACAAAAAUGGAUUCAUGGAGGUUUAAUUAGUGAAUCACGUCCACUCCAGAUUCCUUUAGAUAAUGAAGAUCUGAUUCUAGGUUAUGUUUCAAGAAGGGUCCGAUCGAGUUUUAUACGUAUACCACCGUGGGAUAGAGUCAACAAAAGUGAAGUAAGUGCUUAUGAUUCAACCAGGGGGCGUAUAAUUUAUAGACUCCGCAACAAGGAUUCGAACGAUUAGGUAGUUUUUUCAACUUCAAGAUUCCUUUCAGGGGGAUCCAAUUCAAGGUUCAAAAAUUUCAAGAAACUUAUUUUCUUCCAAUAAGUAGAUUCGAAAAAAAUUUAAGGAAUAACAACUAUGAAAUAAGGGCUUCCAUUCGUAAAAUUUGUGAAAAAUGUCAGACUAAUCCGUAAGAGGGGACGAAUUGUCAUAAUUUGUUUUCCAACCUGAGACAUAAACAGAGAAAAGGAUAAUCUUUCUAUUCUAAAAAAAACUCCUUAAAGUUAAAGAAAAAAAACUAAUCUUAGCAGGAUAGGUAGCCUCCAUGACAAGGGCGUCACAAGGUUGGAUAGGGAAGAAUGUCACGAACCUAAGAAAGAGUCUUGAAUCUCACAUUGAAUAUAAUAGAAAGGUCACUGGGGUAUAUAAGGGUUCACACCAUCUCUUCUUUAUGAAGACGCCUUUGUAGGACAAAACUGUGAGAUUAGAGGGGCCAAGUGGACAAUACCUCACAAGAGUGUGAAACCGUGGCUGAAUACUAUGAUUCACAUUUCGAAUAGGCAUGAAUACAACAUCUAUAGGAUAACUUCCAUCGUGAAAGUUCUUUGGCGUUUUUAUACCGUAUCCUCUAUUUCUCUCGAUUUGUAAUCCAAUACACAAAUCAAUUGGUUCGGUUAGGCUAGCUAUAUGCUGUGUAUUAUCAACGAUUUCCACAGAAGGCGGUAAGAUGAUGUCUUGAGUAGUUACAUAUCCAGGACCCUUGGCACAAAUAAAGGCGUUACGAGUUCCAUACAAAUUACUUCUCAAUACAAGAAAAAAGAGAAUUUCAUUGUAAAGCCGUAUGCAAUUGUAAAGCCGUAUGCAAUGCGUAAAAAAUGCCUGUACGGUUGUUCAAUUCUAUAGCUAUUCUUCUCGCCUCAUUAUGUGAGUUAGAAGUAUGUUAUAUCAUCAGGGUAAUGAUCCAUCAACCUAUUAGUAUGCUUAAGGAUGAUGGCUUCAAAGACUGGGUCAUGGAAACAGACGAAGUAAUGAAAAUGCAAGAAGACAUCAUAGGGGCUUAUGUACAAAGAACGAGCUAGCCCCGAUGGGUUAUAAACAAAGACAUGGAAAGAGAUAAUUUUAUGUCAGGAAAAGAAGCCAAAGAUCAUGGAAUUGUGGAUCAUUUUUUUACCCUACCAUAUAUCCAAUUGAAUGAGAUUUCUCAUAGAUCCUAUCGAUUUGUCUCGGGUUAACCAAAAGAGGUUAAUUACAUGAGUUUCAAACUUUAAUUUGGAUUAAAUUAAUAAUGAGUUUUAUCUUUUCUCCCACCUUCAGAAAAAUAAAGCAUAGGCGUUUCGGGAUUAUCGUCCGUUAGAUUUUUCUAAAGUAGUUGAUACGUCAAAGAAGUUUUACCUGGAAUAAAAGAACAAAAAUGGAUUCAUGGAGGUUUAAUUAGUGAAUCACGUCCACUCCAGAUUCCU